rnacentral:rRNA from 1 species
ACUGCUCAGUAACACGUGGAUAACCUGCCCUUGGGUCCGGCAUAACCCCGGGAAACUGGGGAUAAUUCCGGAUAACGCACAUAUGCUGGAAUGCUUUAUGCGUCAAAUGGAUUCGUCCGCCCAAGGAUGGGUCUGCGGCCUAUCAGGUAGUAGUGGGUGUAAUGUACCUACUAGCCAACAACGGGUACGGGUUGUGAGAGCAAGAGCCCGGAGAUGGAUUCUGAGACAUGAAUCCAGGCCCUACGGGGCGCAGCAGGCGCGAAAACUUUACAAUGCGGGAAACCGUGAUAAGGGGACACCGAGUGCCAGCAUCAUAUGCUGGCUGUCCGGGUGUGUAAAAUACACCUGUUAGCAAGGGCCGGGCAAGACCGGUGCCAGCCGCCGCGGUAACACCGGCGGCCCGAGUGGUGAUCGUGAUUAUUGGGUCUAAAGGGUCCGUAGCCGGUUUGGUCAGUCCUCCGGGAAAUCUGAUAGCUCAACUAUUAGGCUUUCGGGGGAUACUGCCAGGCUUGGAACCGGGAGAGGUAAGAGGUACUACAGGGGUAGGAGUGAAAUCUUGUAAUCCCUGUGGGACCACCUGUGGCGAAGGCGUCUUACCAGAACGGGUUCGACGGUGAGGGACGAAAGCUGGGGGCACGAACCGGAUUAGAUACCCGGGUAGUCCCAGCCGUAAACGAUGCUCGCUAGGUGUCAGGCAUGGCGCGACCGUGUCUGGUGCCGCAGGGAAGCCGUGAAGCGAGCCACCUGGGAAGUACGGCCGCAAGGCUGAAACUUAAAGGAAUUGGCGGGGGAGA